rnacentral:rRNA from 1 species
UACGGGGGGGGGCAAGCGUUGUUCGGAAUUACUGGGCGUAAAGGGCUCGUAGGCGGCCAACUAAGUCAGACGUGAAAUCCCUAGGCUCAACCCUGGGAUGCCGGUGGAUACUGUCGGGCUCGAGUCCGGAAGAGGCGAGUGGAAUUCCUGGUGUAGCGGUGAAAUGCGCAGAUAUCAGGAGGAACACCAAUGGCGAAGGCAGCUCGCUGGGACGUGACUGACGCUGAGACGCGAAAGCGUGGGGAGCAAACAGG